GGUACGGUAUGAUACUGUACCGAAAAGUACGGUAUACCGAAAAUUCGUUAUUUUUUCGGUACGGUAAGUGCAGUAUUUCGGUAUUUCGGUAUAUUUUCCCAGCCCUAGAUAUUCUUGUCUAUCCUUUAUGUAAGUAACCUUCCCACACCUCUUAUUUGUCCGAUUUCAUACUUAAUUGAAAGCUAGGAUUUAGAUUCAAGCUCUUCCCCAAUUUGAAUUUAAGUAAAAGUAGGUGUAAAUCUAAUGUUUUGAUGGCUUGAUAGUUUCCAAAGCCUACUUUAAGGAGUGUUUGGAAUGGAAUAGUUGGACUUGGUGUUUGAAUGUAGGGAUAACAUAGAGUUCUUCAAUGGGGAUUUGGAAGCUUGCUUUGCUAAUUUGAUUUAGCUUGGGUAUUUACUUUACUUGCAUAAUAUAUGUCUGGAUUGUGAGAAAAAUACAUUUUUGGUAUAUGAUGUUUAGAGAAUUAAUUAUAAUGAAUUGAACAUGAAAUUCUAAUGAAAUUAAUGGGAUGAUUAGAGUAUAUAGUUGAUUAUCUUAGAUAGUAAGAUUUUGGAGGUUGCAAACAGAAAUUAUGUUGUGGUGGAAGAAACGAAGGAGACAGUAUUUUGUAUGUUCUGGCCGAAUUUGUCAACUCCAGUUUAACCAAGUAAACGAUUUCAUUUUCUAGCGAAAUUUGAACUGAGCAUACUUUUAUGUGUCUUCUGCUAUGUGGCCAAAAUUCAGCUUCAACCGAAUUGAAAUGAAUUUAUAAUGAAUUUUGUUAGGGGACUGUGCUGUUCAGCUAGGUUUGUGUAAAAUAGACAUUUAUGGCUUUUAUUUUCAUCUGGAUUAUGUUGAAUUUUGACUACUUGGUUGUCCGGAUUAGUACUUGUUCUGUAAAAAUCUUAAGCCAUGACUAAAGUUGAAAUGCUUAUGUUUUAACCUCUUUCUUUUGAAUAAGUGUAUGAAGAUGUGAUUGUUAAUGUGAAUCUGAAGGGAGAGAUAGUAGUUUUGACUAGUCUAAUGUCUUGUGGGAUAUAUGCAUAAAUAUUAUGAAACUAAGUUAGAAGAUAAUGGUUAGUAGAUAAACAUUAAUAGCAUGGAUUAAGUGCAUAAAUGGAUUUAUUUGAUAACAAUAUGAAUUUGGUAAUUUUAUGUGAAUGUGAAAUAUACAAUGGGAGGUAAUGGGACAUAACAAGGACACGGGGAAGGAGUAGGAAUAAAGUGAUUUGUAUGUCAAAGGUGUCUGGGAUUAAUAGGAGUUGUAUAUGAUGAAGAAAUAAGUCAAGACGCUUCUCUGCAUUAGUUGGAAAGGGAGAUAGUAUGUGUUUGUGUGUCUAUGUGAAUAGUAAAUGAAACAUAUGAUAUUAAAUGGGUUAUAUGCGGAUUUUAUGAAGAUAAUUGUUUGAAUUGAAUCAUAGUCAAUAAUUAAAUGGUAAUGAUAUUUUGUAAAUUGGAGUGCAUUUAAAUAUGGUUGUGUCCCAUGCUUGGUUCAUUUAGUGUGCAUAAUUGGUAUGUCAUACUACUGCGGUGGUGCUACAUAAAAUAAUAUAAAAAUAGAUAUUCCCCAUAUAGGGACUAUACGAUAUGACAUGGCUUUCGCCCUAUAAGGGCUAUAUGCGCCCGCUAUUGGGCUAUAUGAUAUGACGUGGCUUUCGCCCUAUACGGGCUACAUGCGCCCGCUAUUUGGGCUAUAUGGUAUGACGUGGCUUUCGCCCUAUACGGGCUAUAUGCGCCCGCUAUUUGGGCUAUAUGGUAUGACAUGGCUUUCGCCUUAUAAGGGCUAUAAGUGCUUGCUAUUGGACUAAAUGGUUAUUGUUGCGUACCCAUAUUUAUUACUGAACAUGUUAAUCGAUUUUAUGUGACUUCAUGCUCGGAUAUAGGUGCAAUAUGUGUGACAAGCAAUGACUGUGGGAUAUUGUUGAGAAUAAUAUAUAUGUCGUGUGAGUCAAUGUUGUACUAUUCGAUCCAACUAGUGCGGAUACAUACAUAUUUUUAAGUAAAUUUGUUAUGAUAUUUUUUAUGAGUGUAAAUUGAUUUUUAAAUUACCACGAUUUAUAGUAUCAGAACUGCAAUGUUAUCUAUUUAAUUGGUUGUAAAUUGAGUAGAGGACGUUACAAACACGAAGGUUGGGCUGCCAGAAUUGCACAACAUGCUUAAGUCUUAUGAGUCUUCCACUGCUAAAGUCAAAUUUGUGCUCAUGGUGAGCUCUUCUGCGAAAUCUUCAAAAUGGAAGAACAAGCAACAACAGAAGAAGAAAGCAUCUAAGGAUGUUGUUCUAAAGAUUAAGAGUGGAGAGGCUAAGAAGAAGUCGAAAUUAUUAAAGGAUGAGUGUCUUUUCUGUCAUGAGAACUGGAAGAGAGACUGUCCAAAAUUCAAGGCACUAGGUGCAGAAAGUGGGAGCUCAGGAUCUAAGUGACAGCAGGAAAGUGAGGCCUGAGGAAGUUGACUUGCGUGUUGGAAAUGGAGCAAGAGUUGCUGCCGAAUGCGUGGGGACUUAUAGAUUGGAUCUUCCCUUGGGACAUAGACUAGAAUUGUUCAAUUGUUAUUUCGUUCCAGUUAUUUCUAAGAAUAUUAUUUCCAUUCCGAUGUUAGACAUUGAAGGUUUUUCCUUCCAUUUUACAAACAACAGAUGCUCGUUUUCUUUUAA